rnacentral:lncRNA from 1 species
AGGAAGCUUGUACACAAAAUCCAUAGUAAUAUUUUCCUAUUUCCACUGUGGAACAGAAAAUGGCUACAUCAACCCAAAUGGCUUCUUUCUUUCAGCUUUAACCUGUUGGCAAAUGAUAUGAUAUUAACUAGCACUCAAAUUAAACCCUCUUUUUAUCAAUUGUAGCAAAGUAUGUAAGUAGGGAUCGUUCUAGACCGGGG